rnacentral:rRNA from 1 species
UACGGGGGGGGCAAGCGUUGUUCGGAAUUACUGGGCGUAAAGGGCUCGUAGGUGGCCAACUAAGUCAGACGUGAAAUCCCCCGGCUUAACCUGGGAACUGCGUCUGAUACUGGAGGGCUUGAGUGCGGGAGAGGGAUGUGGAAUUCCAGGUGUAGCGGUGAAAUGCGUAGAUAUCUGGAGGAACACCGGUGGCGAAGGCGGCAUCCUGGACCGACACUGACGCUGAGGCGCGAAAGCUAGGGUAGCAAACGGG